rnacentral:rRNA from 1 species
GUUCCAGACUCCUACGGGAGGCAGCAGUGAGGAAUAUUGGUCAAUGGGCGGGAGCCUGAACCAGCCAAGUCGCGUGAAGGAAGAAGGUACUUAGUAUUUUAAACUUCUUUUGUCGGGGAACAAAGGCGGAGACGCGUCUCCGGAUGAGUGUACCCGAAGAAAAAGCAUCGGCUAACUCCGUGCCAGCAGCCGCGGUAAUACGGAGGAUGCGAGCGUUAUCCGGAUUUAUUGGGUUUAAAGGGUGCGCAGGCGGGAGAUCAAGUCAGCGGUAAAAUUGCGGGGCUCAACCCCGUCGAGCCGUUGAAACUGGCAGACUUGAGUUGGCGAGAAGUACGCGGAAUGCGCGGUGUAGCGGUGAAAUGCAUAGAUAUCGCGCAGAACUCCGAUUGCGAAGGCAGCGUACCGGCGCCAGACUGACGCUGAGGCACGAAAGCGUGGGGAUCGAACAGGAUUAGAUACCCCUGUAGUC